AGGAAUAUAGCUCAGUGGUAGAACACAUGCUUAGCAUGCAUAAGAUCCUGGGUCCAAUCCCCAAUACUGCCA
rnacentral:tRNA from 1 species